UACGAAGGGGGCUAGCGUUGUUCGGAAUUACUGGGCGUAAAGCGUAUGCAGGCGGAUCGUUAAGUCGGGGGUGAAAUCCCCCGGCUUAACCUGGGAACUGCGUCUGAUACUGGAAGGCUUGAGGAUGGGAGAGGGAUGUAGAAUUCCAGGUGUAGCGGUGAAAUGCGUAGAUAUCAGGAGGAACACCGGUGGCGAAGGCGGCUCUCUGGUCCACAACUGACGCUGAGGUGCGAAAGCUAGGGGAGCAAACGGG
rnacentral:rRNA from 1 species